UACAGAGGUCUCGAGCGUUGUUCGGAUUCAUUGGGCGUAAAGGGCGCGUAGGCGGCGCAACAAGUCACUUGUGAAAUCUCCGGGCUUAACCCGGAGCGGUCAAGUGAUACUGUCGUGCUAGAGUGCGGAAGGGGCUACUGGAAUUCUCGGUGUAGCGGUGAAAUGCGUAGAUAUCGAGAGGAACACCUGCGGCGAAGGCGGGUAGCUGGGCCGACACUGACGCUGAUGCGCGAAAGCCAGGGGAGCGAACGGG
rnacentral:rRNA from 1 species